AGAGUUUGAUCCUGGCUCAGGAUGAACGCUGGCGGCGUGCUUAACACAUGCAGGUCGAACGAAGAUGCCGGAGUGCUUGCACUUUGGCAGACUGAGUGGCGGACGGGUGAGUAACGCGUGGGUAACCUGCCUUAUACAGGGGGAUAACAGUUGGAAACGACUGCUAAUACCGCAUAAGCGCACGGUAUCGCAUGAUACAGUGUGAAAAACUCCGGUGGUAUAAGAUGGACCCGCGUCUGAUUAGCUUGUUGGUGAGGUAACGGCUCACCAAGGCGACGAUCAGUAGCCGGCCUGAGAGGGUGAACGGCCACAUUGGACUGAGACACGGCCAACUCCUACGGGAGGCAGCA
rnacentral:rRNA from 1 species